AGCGAACGCUGGCGGCAGGCCUAACACAUGCCAGUCGAACGAACUCUUCGGAGUUAGUGGCGGACGGGUGAGUAACACGUGGGAACGUGCCUUUUGGUUCGGAAUAACUCAGGGAAACUUGUGCUAAUACCGAAUGUGCCCUUCGGGGGAAAGAUUUAUCGCCAUUAGAGCGGCCCGCGUCUGAUUAGCUAGUUGGUGAGGUAACGGCUCACCAAGGCGACGAUCAGUAGCUGGUCUGAGAGGAUGACCAGCCACACUGGGACUGAGACACGGCCCAGACUCCUACGGGAGGCAGCAGUGGGGAAUCUUGCGCAAUGGGCGAAAGCCUGACGCAGCCAUGCCGCGUGAAUGAUGAAGGUCUUAGGAUUGUAAAAUUCUUUCACCGGGGACGAUAAUGACGGUACCCGGACAAGAAGCCCCGGCUAACUUCGUG
rnacentral:rRNA from 1 species